rnacentral:rRNA from 1 species
CCUACGUGUGGCAGCAGUGAGGAAUAUUGGUCAAUGGGCGCGAGCCUGAACCAGCCAAGUAGCGUGAAGGAUGACUGCCCUACGGGUUGUAAACUUCUUUUAUAAAGGAAUAAAGUGAGGCACGUGCGCCUUUUUGUAUGUACUUUAUGAAGAAGGAUCGGCUAACUCCGUGCCAGCAGCCGCGGUAAUACGGAGGAUCCGAGGGUUAUCCGGAUUUAUUGGGUUUAAAGGGAGCGUAGAUGGGUUGUUAAGUCAGUUGUGAAAGUUUGCGGCUCAACCGUAAAAUUGCAAUUGAUACUGGCAGUCUUGAGUACAGGUGAGGUAGGCGGAAUUCGUGGUGUAGCGGUGAAAUGCUUAGAUAUCACGAAGAACUCCGAUUGCGAAGGCAGCUUACUAAACUGCCACUGACAUUGAUGCUCGAAAGUGUGGGUAUCAAACAGGAUUAGAUACCCGAGUAGUC